AACGCACCUUGCGCUCCUUGGUAUUCCGAGGAGCAUGCCUGUUUGAGUGUCGUGAAAUUCUCAAUCUAUAAGCCUUUGCGGGUUUAUAGACUUGGACUUGGAGGCUUGCUGGCUCUAAACCGUCGGCUCCUCUUAAAUGCAUUAGCUUGAUUCCUUGCGGAUCGGCUCUCGGUGUGAUAAUUGUCUACGCCGUGACCGUGAAGCGUUUGGCGGGCUUCUAACUGUCUCAUUAGAGACAACUUCAUUGACAUCUGACCUCAAAUCAGGUAGGACUACCCGCUGAACUUAA
rnacentral:misc_RNA from 1 species